UGGAUUUCCCCACAGCUUUCUUUGAUAGUACCUUCGCCUUAGAGGCAGCGUGGUAAAAAAAAAAAAAGAGAGAAACUGUCAAAUGCGAAGAGCUCUAAAUUGCAGCCAGUCUAUUUUCCCAUAACAAUUGCUGUUGGCAGGUGGUCCCUCCAUCUUUUGAGGCAAUUUGUAGAGAAGAGGCAAAACAAAGAAUCUUGAUCCUGUGCCCAGGACAAAAGAAAGCAGAGUUUGUGACAGAAGUGGACUUGAAGAGGCUCAUCAUGACGUUCAGGUUCUGAGUGGAGCGGUGUAGCAUGUAGCAUAUCUCUCUUACACGCACGCACACACGCACACGCACACACACACACACGCACACACACAGUAAUCUGCUGCUAUCUAGUGGACUACAUUUACACCUGCAGCGCUUCUGGCAGAGUACAGAAACAGCUGCAAGGCUGCAAGUUUGACUCUGCACAGCUGCCUGUCCAGCAAUAGUUCCCAAAUGCUCUUCUUGAUGCCUAAACGACACUUAUUUUAACUUUACAAUUGUGGUGAUUAGGUGAGGGUUUUUUUCCCCUAAGAAAAGACACGGUUUAAUCAAAUUGUUCAGGUAAAUCGAGCAGCCGAAACGGAGAAGAAUGGAUGUAACCAAAGCCUACCUUCCCUCGGGCCCAUCCCAGGUCCGUGGUCGCGUCUGUUCAUCGCCUUUUCUUUAACCAGGACCAUCAAUAAACACCAAACCUGCGAUUUUUACAUCGAGCCCGGCCAGUGACACAGGUUCGGCAUCAGAACACAUCAGCCAACCGUAGAGCCGAACAGAACAGACACUGCCUGCAGACACCAACAACUACCAUUCCAGCCAUCUGCCAAAAUGGAUAUAGGAGCGCCUGAAGAUGUGGCUGAAAGGGGAUGAUGACACUCAGCAAAGGGAAUGACUCUAUCCGAGUGUGGGAGAGGCAAAUGUUUGACCAAGUUGCUGCCCAAGAUGGGUCAUGCUGGAGAAUCAGUAUCAUCUCUCUGCUCCGCCUCGCCCCUGUUUUUACAGCCGUGCUGCUGCGCCACAGCAGCGGUUAAAGCAGCGUGACUGUGAUUAAUAAGUCGUGAAGGCUUGGAUGUCAAAUCUCCAUGCAGCCUGCAGGUUAGUUUGGAAUGUGGCGACUUAUGUGUCUUCGGCGUCUGAUGCCACCAGUUCUGUAGAAUGAAU
rnacentral:lncRNA from 1 species